GAACCAGGAGGGCUAGGGGGAAAUUCUCCCCUCUCCGACAGUUUUGGUGUCGUUGGCUGGAUACUGCUUGGCUACUGCUUGCUCCUGGGACUGUUGCAGAUAAAGAGAUCCUGGAACUUCUGAAGAAAACCUGGCAGAAGGAGACCUUCCACAUAAAAAUUCUGAUUUUGGAUUCUUUUGGAAAAAUGGAAAUACCUGUUAACACUAGCCCAGACCUCGUGUAACAACCAGCGGAAUUGAGAAGUGUUACAGGAACAUGCCGUCCAGGGAACCACAGACCCCACCACUCCCUGGUGCCCUUAAAGCCCACUUCCUGUAUCGGUGCUUCAGCCUCAACAUCAGCCUCUGGUUUGCAAUCCAUAAGAACUUUCCUUUCCUUCCUUCUGGGCCUUCACUCUCCUUCACUGGGCCCAGCCAUCACGGGUCAGGUCGGGCUGGGCCAAAGUGGGUGCUUGACUUUCCCUUCCUUUUCAUGAUGUUUUUCUACCAAAUCGUUUUUCUGUGCUCUGAAACCUUUGUGGUCCCCCAAGAGUGGAGGAUUUUGAAACUCAAAAGCCAGAAGGAGACACUUCUCCCUCCUCCAUCCCCUCCGGGGCAGUGCUUCAUAUCACAUCCCUUCCCUGAGGGAGUGCGAAAGAACAGCCUGAGGCUUUAAAAGGGGAAACAGCAGACCAGGAUGGGAAGGAAACCAGGGGGGAAAUUUGGUUAAGAAGGAGAUAUGGGUCUUAGACAUAUCAGAUUUGCAACUAUUAAAACGUUGGAUGAUAUCAAGUGCCACAAAAGGUGAAGGAAAGCAGAAUAUCUCAUAGGAAUGUUAACUAAUCUUUCUGGGAAGCAGAUUGAAAGUGUUAAGUGAUGUGGAAUAUGGGCCACUCCUACAACCCAGUACUUGGGGACGCUGAGCCCAGAGACAUUCUUGCCCAGGCCCCCAAAGAAACAUGUGUGGAUUUGUUCUUGUAGAAUUGUUUGUAAUAAUGAAGAUUUGGAAACACCUAGAAGUUUAUUCAUAGGAAAGUAGUUACAUAAAAGGUUAUAUGAAAAUGCUGAGUACCAUUCAGCAGGUAAAAGGAAUGCUCUGGUCCAUAUUUACUUAUAUUAACUUGGAGCCAUCUCAAAAUCUCAUAGUCUUGACUGGAAAAAAGUGAGAAAAGAAUGACAUGUUUACCAAAGACUACUUAAGCAUAUUUUUAAAAAUAUGCACAAAAUGAUACCAAUAUUGGGCCUAGAUACACAUAGAAAUAUAGAUUGGCCAGACACAAAGAAUCACAAGGACGUAAGAGGAGAAAAAUGAGAUUGGGGAUGGGGUGAAGGGGUCAAGAAAAUAAAGUAAAAUAAAAGUGAGCCCUGCGUAUGCUAAUAAAGAUGGUAUGCAUGUGGCUAAUUGAUCCUGAGCAAAGGAGGUCUCGGCAAACAGAAAACUACAGCAAAACAAAACAUCAGUUAAUGUUUAAAAUAUUAACCUGAUGCCUGUGGAAAGAGAACUCUGUGAAUAACCAGAGGUCUGAUGAGUGCCCAGAGGUGACCGAGCAGUCCUGCAGUCCCUGUGAUUCCCUCCAACUGAUCUCCUGCUGGGGUCACUCCAUAGCUUGGCCUUGAGUUGCUUUUAUCCACAGACUUUCAGCCUCCCAGCACCGCUGACUGCUCUCAGGAAAACUGUUGGAUCACGAGAUUUUCCCACAGAGAUCGUCACCAUGGGGUAUUUUCAACCUGUAUUAGCCUCGAGUUCCUCCAGCAAAGUCAGGAUAUCCUGGGAACAAGUACCCUCCAGCCCCUGAAGCCUCCUUUUUAAUGCGCCUUCAGUACCCAAAACUUUCUCGGAGUGUUAUAUGAGGUCCGGCUUUUUUUGCUUGGGGCGUGGAAGACAAAGGUGAGCGGUUCUGGCCAGCAGCUCUGUUUCCCCUUGAAGCCCCACUCUUGGGGAGCGAGGGGGAGAAAGAGAGACGAGGAGCUAUUUGCUGUCUCCCUAAUCCAUCCUUCUCUCUCUUCCUCUUCCCCUCCCUCCUUUCCUUAGAAACAUAUUCAGUGCUGAGUGUGCACAAGGCACGUGGCAGCCCCCAGUGAAUCUGGCAUUGCCCCCUGCCCUCAAGGAGAGUCAAGUCCGGGGGGGAGCAAGCGUUUCUGUCUUGGACUGCUCACUCUGGAAGAAGCCAGCUGCCAUGUUGUCAGGACACACAAGCAGCCCUAUCAAAGGUCCAUGUGGUAUAGAACCGAGGCCUCCUGCCAACAGCCAUGAGAGGAGCCAUCUUGCAUGUGGACCCCCAGCUCCAAUCAAGCCUUCAGAUGACAGCAGCCCCGUUCAACAUCUUGAGACCUUGAGCCAGAACAACCCAGCUCAGGUGCUUCCCUUGAUGGGACCAAUAGCCCAGCAGCAGAUGCAGAAGAACUCUCCUCUGAACUUUCCUUAUCUGCCUGGCACAGAGCAUGGAGAAUCAGCAGCCACCCCCCCACCUCCACCCUCCAGCUGGUCUCCAGUCAGGGAGGCACCGACCUUGGGCACCAGGACAUUCCCAAAGAAAUUGUGUAAACAAGCCUCAUCAGAGCCUUCCAUCCUUUGAAGCCCUCCCCCUCCCCCGCCCGCUUUUGUUAAGUUGGUAUAUGAACCUUUGCCUCUGGUUCCUCAGUGAGUUACUCAUUACACAGUGCUCCUGCACUCAGUGUGUGCAUAAACUUUGUCUUUUCUCCUGUUAAUCUAGCCCCUACCCCCAACCCUCGAACCUAAAUUGGUAGAGAAAAAAGUUUUUCCUCCCGAUACUCUCUAAUCAAAGGAAUCCCCAGGGGCUAUCAG